UACGGGGGGGAGCAAGCGUUGUUCGGAAUCACUGGGCUUAAAGGGCGCGUAGGCGGGUGCUCAAGUCCGGGGUGAAAUCCUCCAGCUCAACUGGAGAACUGCCUCGGAUACUGGGUGUCUCGAGGGUGGUAGGGGUAUGCGGAACUAUCGGUGGAGCGGUGAAAUGCGUUGAUAUCGAUAGGAACUCCGGUGGCGAAGGCGGCAUACUGGACCACAUCUGACGCUGAGGCGCGAAAGCCAGGGGAGCAAACGGG
rnacentral:rRNA from 1 species